rnacentral:rRNA from 1 species
UCCGUAGGUGAACCUGCGGAAGGAUCAUUACCUAGAGUUGUAGGCUUUGCCUGCUAUCUCUUACCCAUGUCUUUCGAGUACCUUACGUUUCCUCGGCGGGUCCGCCCGCCGAUUGGACAAUUUAAACCAUUUGCAGUUGCAAUCAGCGUCUGAAAAAACUUAAUAGUUACAACUUUCAACAACGGAUCUCUUGGUUCUGGCAUCGAUGAAGAACGCAGCGAAAUGCGAUAAGUAGUGUGAAUUGCAGAAUUCAGUGAAUCAUCGAAUCUUUGAACGCACAUUGCGCCCCUUGGUAUUCCAUGGGGCAUGCCUGUUCGAGCGUCAUUUGUACCUUCAAGCUCUGCUUGGUGUUGGGUGUUUGUCUCGCCUCUGCGUGUAGACUCGCCUCAAAACAAUUGGCAGCCGGCGUAUUGAUUUCGGAGCGCAGUACAUCUCGCGCUUUGCACUCAUAACGACGACGUCCAAAAGUACAUUUUUACACUCUUGACCUCGGAUCAGGUAGGGAUACCCGCUGAACUUAAGCAUAUCAAUAAGCGGAGGA